UACGUAGGUGGCGAGCGUUGUCCGGAUUUAUUGGGCGUAAAGCGCGCGCAGGCGGUGCGGUAAGUCUGUCGUGAAAUCUCCCGGCUCAACUGGGAGGGUGCGGUGGAGACUGCCGGACUGGAGGCACUCAGAGGCCGGUGGAAUUCCCGGUGUAGUGGUGAAAUGCGUAGAGAUCGGGAGGGACACCAGUGGCGAAGGCGGCCGGCUGGGGGUGACCUGACGCUGAGGCGCGAAAGCGUGGGGAGCGAACCGG
rnacentral:rRNA from 1 species